rnacentral:rRNA from 1 species
UACGUAGGGGGCAAGCGUUGUCCGGAAUCAUUGGGCGUAAAGCGCGCGUAGGCGGGUUGGUAAGUCCGCUGUGAAAGCCCGGAGCUUAACUCCGGAGGGUCGGUGGAUACUGCCAGUCUUGAAGGUGCUAGGGGGAGAUGGAAUUACCGGUGUAGCGGUGAAAUGCGUAGAUAUCGGUAGGAACACCAGUGGCGAAGGCGGUCUCCUGGGGCAUUCUUGACGCUGAGGCGCGAAAGCUGGGGGAGCAAACGGG